CCUGUGGCCGUGUGCCCACAGAAAGGGCCCGGCGUGCCACCUGUGGCACGCGUGCCAUAGGUUCGCCAUCACUGCCCUAGGGAGACCAUACCCGCGUUUAGACUUAUGUCUUCAUCAAUGCUUAUUAAGAAUUUUAUAUAUGUAGGGAUAUGUAUUUUCUACGUUAUUUAAUUAUGUUUUUAAGAUGCUUCCCAAUUUUGCAUUAAAUCUAUUUAUUACCCCAUAGAUAUGGCGGACUUCCUAAUUACAUAUAAAUCAUGUGUAUAGGACUCAGAAUAUACACAAUGGCGAAUUCAAGCUUUUAACUCGAGUGCUGGAACGCUAGUUAAGUCAGACGCAAGGAGGCGCAAUGACGUUCGAACACGCAAGAGUCGUAAACCUGGAAGUAACCAUCGGUAGUACGGAUGAAGGCGCCAAGAUUAAUAUAAAAAGGGAGACAGGGAGACACUCACAACAGAACCACUGAUUGAUAAAGGCAAACCAGCCGAAACGCGUCAGGUGGAGGUGGACUAUCUUUUAAUCUAUAUUUGUAAAGUAUGUUUUUCUGUUUGUUCUUAAAGCCAGAGGUGUUUUUACAUAUAUCCAGUAUUUUGGAGUUCCUUUCUGAUGCUGCAUUGGAAAAAAAAAAAGGCAAAGCUGUGAACUUGAACAUUCAGAUCCUUAAAGGUGGCCACCAUUCCUUCUGCAACUGAGCUUUUAGUCUGAGCCAGCUUGUGGAGUGGCUCAGAAUCAUGUGAGUGGAUCCAAAAUAGAUUUUAUCAAUUAUCUAGUUUUUAC